CCUGAUCCAGCAUGCCGCGUGAGUGAUGAAGGCCUUAGGGUUGUAAAGCUCUUUUACCAGGGAUGAUAAUGACAGUACCUGGAGAAUAAGCUCCGGCUAACUCCGUGCCAGCAGCCGCGGUAAUACGGAGGGAGCUAGCGUUGUUCGGAAUUACUGGGCGUAAAGCGCGCGUAGGCGGUUACUCAAGUCAGAGGUGAAAGCCCGGGGCUCAACCCCGGAACUGCCUUUGAAACUAGGUGACUAGAAUCUUGGAGAGGUCAGUGGAAUUCCGAGUGUAGAGGUGAAAUUCGUAGAUAUUCGGAAGAACACCAGUGGCGAAGGCGACUGACUGGACAAGUAUUGACGCUGAGGUGCGAAAGCGUGGGGAGCAAACAGGAUUAGAU
rnacentral:rRNA from 1 species